rnacentral:lncRNA from 1 species
GACUCUGCAAACUACCUCUGCCGCCAUUUUCUGGGGACCCGGAGUGGUUCUGGGCAAAAUCCUUCAUCUUGGCUGAAUGAAAAAGAGAAAGAAAGAAAGAAAACAUGACUGGUCCUGGUUUUCGGCGCCAUGUGUAUGAGAAAAAGAAAUAAAAAGAAAGGAAGAGGACUGGUCCCAGGAGGAAAACCAAAUAGCCUUAGAACUCAUGGAAUUUGUCCCACCGGUUAGCACAACCACAUCAAGAGGCAGAACCCCGACUGUCCUGAGGACUUCUUGCUGUUGUGGAGUUUUGCUCUGCUCACCGUCUUCAAGAUCACCACAUCCCUCUUGGUCCGUGAGUUGCAUGAAAACUCCAAAAAGGCUGCCAGCCCCUCACUGGACAGUAUCAUUGGUAUCAAGAAUAGUGAUUGCUCUUUUUCAAGUGUUGCAGCUGGAGCAGAUUACUGAUUCAACCACCACCCUCAGAAAGGACAUAGAGCUGUAGAUUGCUGAUUACUUCAGAAACCACAACCAACUGAAACCAACCAACAUCCCAUCAACAAUGACCAAGACCAACCGACAGUAGUCUUGCCUCUCUCAUGGUCCUAGCAUUUAUACACUCUCAGAACAGUUCCGAGGUUCCGAAUGUCAUAUCAUCACAGGACUAUCAACAGCUGACAAACCAUGCUUUUGCUAGAGCACAAAGCAAAUCAUACUCAGCUGCUGUAGAAUCUGAACUUAGAAAGAGUUGAGAAGGUAUUUGAAGAAAAGAUGGUUGGAAACACCCCACAGUUGGUGGAAGAUGUGAAUCCACAGACAUGCACAGAACCCUCUGUUCAACUCAAGUGCCCAGGAUAUACUCUUCAGGAUGGACGGCAUGACAAGCCAGGGAGUUUGAAAGAGUUGCGGAAAGGACUUCAUCUGGGAAACAGAGGCAGUGAUUGGAAAACAAACAUCAUUGUUGAUCAGGACACAGACUAUGCUGAACUGGUUCUGUUUAUUGGAGAAAUCACACUUGGA